rnacentral:rRNA from 1 species
CAGCACCACGGUAAUACGAAGGGUGCAAGCGUUAAUCGGAAUUACUGGGCGUAAGGCGUGCGUAGGCGGUGAGUUAAGUCUGCUGUGAAAUCCCCGGGCUCAACCUGGGAAUGGCAGUGGAUACUGGCUCGCUAGAGUGUGUCAGAGGAUGGUGGAAUUCCCGGUGUAGCGGUGAAAUGCGUAGAGAUCGGGAGGAACAUCAGUGGCGAAGGCGGCCAUCUGGGACAACACUGACGCUGAGGCACGAAAGCGUGGGGAGCAAACAGGAUUAGAUACCCCCGUAGUCCCUGUCUCUUAUACA